rnacentral:rRNA from 1 species
GACGAACGCUGGCGGCGUGCCUAAUACAUGCAAGUAGGACGCAGUUGCGAACGGGUGAGUAACGAGUAGGUCACUACCUAUUAGUGGGGGCUAACUAUUGGAAACGAUAGCUAAUACCGCAUACUAGUAGAUGGACCUGCGUUGUAUUAGGUAGUAGGUAGGGGAAAGGCCUACCUAGGCAACGAUACAUAGCCGAACUGAGAGGGUGAGCGGCCAAAAUGGGACUUGGGCACGGCCCAGACUCCUUCGGGAGGGAGCAGUAGGGAAUUUUUGGAAAUGGGGGGAAACCUGACCGAGCAACGCCGCGGGAUUGAAGAAGGUUUUCGGAUCGGAAAGCUCUGUUGUUCAGGGAGCGGUACUUACCCAGAAAGGGACGGCUAACUACGUGCCAGCAGCCGCGGUAAUAC